rnacentral:rRNA from 1 species
AUUGAACGCUGGCGGCAGGCUUAACACAUGCAAGUCGAGCGGAGACUUCGGUCUUAGCGGCGAACGGGUGAGGAAUGCCUGGGAAUCUGCCUGGUAGUGGGGGAUAACGUUCCGAAAGGAACGCUAAUACCGCAUACGUCCUACGGGAGAAAGCAGGGGACCUUCGGGCCUUGCGCUAUCAGAUGAGCCCAGGUCGGAUUAGCUGUAGGUGAGGUAAAGGCUCACCUAGGCGACGAUCCGUAGCUGGUCUGAGAGGAUGAUCAGCCACACUGGAACUGAGACACGGUCCAGACUCCCUACGGGAGGCAGCAGUGGGGAAUAUUGGACAAUGGGCGAAAGCCU